AUUGAACGCUGGCGGCAGGCCUAACACAUGCAAGUCGAGCGGAGCGGCGGACGGGUGAGUAAUGCCUAGGAAUCUGCCUGGCAGUGGGGGAUAACGUCCGGAAACGGGCGCUAAUCCCGCAUACUAUCAGAUUAGCAUAGGUCGGAUUAGCUAGUUGGUGGGGUAAAGGCCUACCAGGGCGACGAUCCGUAACUGGUCUGAGAGGAUGAUCAGUCAAACUGGAACUGAGACACGGUCCAGACUCCUACGGGAGGCAGCAGUGGGGAAUAUUGGGCAAUGGGGGAAAGCCUGAUCCAGCCAUGCCGCGUGUGUGAAGAAGGUCUUCGGAUUGUAAAGCACUGUAAGUUGGGAGGCGUUACCAACAGAAUAAGCACCGGCUAACUUCGUGCCAGCAGCCGCGGUAAUAC
rnacentral:rRNA from 1 species